GCCGCGAUAGUGUAGCUUGGUUAGCAUAGGAGGCUGUGGACCUCUUGACGAGGGCUCAAAUCCCUCUCGCGGCC
rnacentral:tRNA from 1 species